UUUACUAGGUUAGAGGGUUUUCAACGCUCGAUCCAGAGGAGAAGGCUAGGGCAGCCGAGCGUAAAGGGGAGAGAGGCGGCGAGAGAGAGGGUAGGCGACGGCGUAGAGGAGAAGCGGCCACGGUUCCUCUUCUUGUUCUCUAGUCGAUCGAUCUCCUUCUUCUUGUUCUCUCUGUUGGAUCAAAACAAAACAUAAACACGACAACCCUAGUUCUCUAGUCGAUCGAUCUCGUCUAUAUGUCAUUUUUCACGGAAACCUCCAGCCUCGAUCGACAAGACACACAUACAUACGUUUUAUAUCCUGGAGUACUUACAACUGUUACCUCAUGUGUAUCAUCAUGUACCUAAAAGUAAACAAAAGAAAGGGACAAAUCGACGGAGAAACUAAGUUUCCUAGA
rnacentral:rRNA from 1 species